rnacentral:rRNA from 1 species
AGAGUUUGAUCCUGGCUCAGGACGAACGCCGGCGGCGUGCUUAACACAUGCAAGUCGAACGGAAAGGCCCUGCUUUUGUGGGGUGCUCGAGUGGCGAACGGGUGAGUAACACGUGAGUAACCUGCCCUUGACUUUGGGAUAACUUCAGGAAACUGGGGCUAAUACCGGAUAGGAGCUCCUGCUGCAUGGUGGGGGUUGGAAAGUUUCGGCGGUUGGGGAUGGACUCGCGGCUUAUCAGCUUGUUGGUGGGGUAGUGGCUUACCAAGGCUUUGACGGGUAGCCGGCCUGAGAGGGUGACCGGCCACAUUGGGACUGAGAUACGGCCCAGACUCCUACGGGAGGCAGCAGUGGGGAAUAUUGCACAAUGGGCGGAAGCCUGAUGCAGCAACGCCGCGUGCGGGAUGACGGCCUUCGGGUUGUAAACCGCUUUCGCCUGUGACGAAGCGUGAGUGACGGUAAUGGGUAAAGAAGCACCGGCUAACUACGUGCCAGCAGCCGCGGUGAUACGUAGGGUGCGAGCGUUGUCCGGAUUUAUUGGGCGUAAAGGGCUCGUAGGUGGUUGAUCGCGUCGGAAGUGUAAUCUUGGGGCUUAACCCUGAGCGUGCUUUCGAUACGGGUNNACUNNNGGAAGGUAGGGGAGAAUGGAAUUCCUGGUGGAGCGGUGGAAUGCGCAGAUAUCAGGAGGAACACCAGUGGCGAAGGCGGUUCUCUGGGCCUUUCCUGACGCUGAGGAGCGAAAGCGUGGGGAGCGAACAGGCUUAGAUACCCUGGUAGUCCACGCUGUAAACGGUGGGUACUAGGUGUGGGGUCCAUUCCACGGGUUCCGCGCCGUAGCUAACGCUUUAAGUACCCCGCCUGGGGAGUACGGCCGCAGGGCUAAAACUCAAAGGAAUUGACGGGGACCCCGCACAAGCGGCGGAGCAUGCGGAUUAAUUCGAUGCAACGCGUAGAACCUUACCUGGGUUUGACAUGGAUCGGGAGUGCUCAGAGAUGGGUGUGCCUCUUUUGGGGUCGGUUCACAGGUGGUGCAUGGCUGUCGUCAGCUCGUGUCGUGAGAUGUUGGGUUAAGUCCCGCAACGAGCGCAACCCUUGUUCACUGUUGCCAGCACGUUAUGGUGGGGACUCAGUGGAGACCGCCGGGGUCAACUCGGAGGAAGGUGGGGAUGACGUCAAGUCAUCAUGCCCCUUAUGUCCAGGGCUUCACGCAUGCUACAAUGGCUGGUACAGAGAGUGGCGAGCCUGUGAGGGUGAGCGAAUCUCGGAAAGCCGGUCUCAGUUCGGAUUGGGGUCUGCAACCCGACCUCAUGAAGUCGGAGUCGCUAGUAAUCGCAGAUCAGCAACGCUGCGGUGAAUACGUUCCCGGGGCUUGUACACACCGCCCGUCAAGUCAUGAAAGUUGGUAACACCCGAAGCCGGUGGCCUAACCGUUGUGGGGGAGCCGUCGAAGGUGGGACUGGUGAUUAGGACUAAGUCGUAACAAGGUAACC